rnacentral:rRNA from 1 species
CCUUCGGGGGACGUUAACGGCGUCGAGCGGCGGACGGGUGAGUAAUGCCUAGGAAAUUGCCCUGAUGUGGGGGAUAACCAUUGGAAACGAUGGCUAAUACCGCAUGAUGCCUACGGGCCAAAGAGGGGGACCUUCGGGCCUCUCGCGUCAGGAUAUGCCUAGGUGGGAUUAGCUAGUUGGUGAGGUAAGGGCUCACCAAGGCGACGAUCCCUAGCUGGUCUGAGAGGAUGAUCAGCCACACUGGAACUGAGACACGGUCCAGACUCCUACGGGAGGCAGCAGUGGGGAAUAUUGCACAAUGGGCGCAAGCCUGAUGCAGCCAUGCCGCGUGUGUGAAGAAGGCCUUCGGGUUGUAAAGCACUUUCAGUCGUGAGGAAGGUAGUGUGGUUAAUAGAUGCAUUAUUUGACGUUAGCGACAGAAGAAGCACCGGCUAACUCCGUGCCAGCAGCCGCGGUAAUACGGAGGGUGCGAGCGUUAAUCGGAAUUACUGGGCGUAAAGCGCAUGCAGGUGGUUUGUUAAGUCAGAUGUGAAAGCCCGGGGCUCAACCUCGGAAUAGCAUUUGAAACUGG